UAUAACCAGCCUCUGUUCUGUCCUGCCGGUGCAUCAUAUAACCAGCCUCUGUUCUAUCCUGCCGGUGCAUCGUAUAACCAGCCAGCCUCUGUUCUAUCCUGCCGGUGCAUCGUAUAACCAGCCACGCCUCUGUUCUGUCCUGCCGGUGCAUCGUAUAACCAGCCAGCCUCUGUUCUGUCCUGCCGGUGCAUCGUAUAACCAGCCACGCCUCUGUUCUGUCCUGCCGGUGCAUCGUAUAACCAGCCUCUGUUCUCCUGCCGGUGCAUCGUAUAACCAGCCUCUGUUCUAUCCU
ensembl:lncRNA